UCACACUGCCUGCUGAAAGAGGAGAGGCUAUGGAGGUUCUGUGAGAGAGAAACCUGCUGUUGAAACCAGUGAGCUGUGCCUGGAGAGUGCAAUCAGGAUGCUGGAGGUCAUGUGAUCGAAACUGGAAUCCCGACAUCGCUCAGCAGACCGGCGCUGUGACACCCACACCUGAAGCUGCAGAGGAGAUCUGCAGACAGAGACAAUGCUCACUAUGGAGGGACUUUUCGAACUCCCUGUAUAUCAUGUUUAAGAAAGAAUAAUAUUUUAAAAAUAAUAAUGAAUACAAAUACUGUAAAUAUUAG